CUAUUACUCCUGCUGAUGCAGAGAAACAGUUGUCUCUCCCCAUCAGCCCAAGGCUAAUCAUGCUAGCAUUGAAUAUCAGGUGGAAGCAGCCAGAACACUCGCAUUUCUUCAGAGCCCCGCACCUGACUCUCCGGCCACCAUUGACCCUGUACCAACUGGCUCAAGCACUUUUGGAGCUGCACCCAAACUCCAGGCUGCCACUAGCCCCGACGAGGGGUUCCUGGAGGAUGCUCAAUUAGAGGAUCUAGAAUGGGAUGUUCCUACCUCACUCCAAGACUCAGGUCAUAUCCAAGGUCUGAGUGACCGAUAUCAGUGGGGGUCCAGGGAACGAACCGGUCGAUUGUCGGUCUCCUGGAAAGAGAGACGGGGGCACAUCAAGUAUGGUGGUCCUUACUUCCCUGUUCCCUCUGUCUGGUCAUGUCUCUGUUCCCAUCCUGCAGGUCUUGUGUCAUCCUCCUGUCACUGUCCCAGGCAGCCACUAGGCACCCUCCAGCCCUGCAGUUCCCCCAUAACCCUGCUGUCCAGAGGAUAGUCUGUCUAUCCUGUCUUGUUGUUAACUUGUUGUUAACCCUGUUAACUUCUGUGUUUUUCUUGGAUCCCUCUGUGUUACAUACCUGGCCUUGCCAUCUGUUCUGUCCACCCUUAUGUGUAUGAUGUUAGACUUCCCCCGUCUACUCCUUGGUUAUUCCCCAGUCUGUUCAGUACCCUUGUUGUGUGACGUGUCCAGUCCUGUGCUGUAUUUUGGUCAUGGUGCCCCAGUGGUCCUGAGUCUUGUUUAUCUUCAGUGUAUAUUAGGGGGGUGCCCCGCCCCCCCAAUGGUACUUCCCACCCCCACUUGAAGGUCACGUUAAUUUAAUUUAAUUUUAUUUUCUAUAUAGCACCAGAUCACAACAGAAGUCAUUUAAGGUUACUUUUCCUAUAGAACAGGUCUAUACAUUGUC